GAUUAAUUUUUAUUUAUUAAUGUUAUUUAUUUUAAUUAUAUAAUAUUAAAAAUAAUUAUAUUAUGUAUUUUGUUUAAGUAUUUUUUAAAAAAUAAAUAAUUUAAAUUAUAGUGAAUUAGUAUUGUGAAAGAAAAUUGAAAUAGUUUGAAAAAUUUUUAUUUUAAUAGAAAAUUUUAUUUAUUGUACCUUUUGUAUCAGGGUUUAUUAAAUUAAUAAUAUGUAUAUAUGUUUCUCGAUUUAAAAAGAGUUAAUUAAUUAUAAAAAUUAAUGUUAUAAAAUUAUUUUUAAUAAUUAAUUAGAAAUGAAAUGUUAUUCGUUUUUUAUGGUAUCUAGUUUUUUAAGAAAUGAAUUUAAUUCAGAAAUUUUAAAAUAUAUUUUUAAUUAUAUUAAUGAUAUAGUUUUUAAUUUAAAUAUUUUAUGGGAUUAGCUAUAAAAUUAUGUUUAUAAAUAAUUAUAAUAUUAUAAUAAAUGUAAGCUUAGAAUUAGUUAUCAUUAAUAAUUGUGUUAUAAUUUAUUUAAUUUUUAAUAUUAUUUAAUUUAUUUUAAUUUAUUUAUUAAAAAUUUUAUUUUAAUUUUAAAAAUAAAAUUAAAAUGAUAAAAUUAGUAUAUAAUAUUGUUUAAAUAAAUUUUUAAGGAAAGUUUUAAUAAAGAAUUCGGCAAAAUUUAUGUUCGCCUGUUUAACAAAAACAUGUCUUUUUGUAAAUGUAUAAAAAGUCUAACCUGCCCACUGAUUAUUUAAAUGGCCGCAGUAUUUUAACUGUGCAAAGGUAGCAUAAUCAUUAGUCUUUUAAUUGAAGGCUGGAAUGAAUGGUUGGACGAAAUAUUAACUGUUUCAUUAAAAUUUAUAUUAGAAUUUUAUUUUUUAGUUAAAAAGCUAAAAUAUUAUUAAAAGACGAGAAGACCCUAUAAAUCUUUAUAUUUAAAUUAUUUUUAUUAUUUAGAUUUUUUUUAUAAUUAUAUUUUUAAUUAUUUUAUUGGGGUGAUAUUAAAAUUUAAUAAACUUUUAGUUGUUUUUUACAUUGAUUUAUGAAUAUUUGAUCCAUUUUUAAUGAUUAUAAAUUUAAGUUACUUUAGGGAUAACAGCGUAAUUUUUUUGGAGAGUUCAUAUCGAUAAAAAAGAUUGCGACCUCGAUGUUGGAUUAAGAUAUAGUUUUAGGUGUAGUAGUUUAAAAUUUAAGUCUGUUCGACUUUAUAUUCUUACAUGAUCUGAGUUCAGACCGGCGUAAGCCAGGUUGGUUUCUAUCUUUAAUUUUUUAAUAUAUUUUAGUACGAAAGGACCAAAUAUAUAAAUAAUUAUAUUUUUAAUAUGAAUAUUAUUAAUAUGCUAUUUUGGCAGAUUAGUGCAAUAAAUUUAGAAUUUAUUUA
rnacentral:rRNA from 1 species